rnacentral:rRNA from 1 species
AGAGUUUGAUCCUGGCUCAGAUUGAACGCUGGCGGCAUGGCUAAAACAUGCAAGUCGAACGCGUGUAGCAAUACACGAGUGGCGAAAGGGCGAGGAAUAGAUUCCUACGUACCCCGGAGUCAGGGAUAACCAUCGGAAACGGUGGCUAACACCUGAUGAUCUCGAAAGAGCAAAGUUUACGCUCUGGGAGCGGGGAAUCUCCUAUCAGCUAGUUGGUGAGGUAACGGCUCACCAAGGCUAAGACGGGUAGCGGGUGUGAGAGCACGGCCCGCCGCAUCGGGACUGAGACACUGCCCGGACUCCUACGGGAGGCUGCAGUAACGAAUCUUCCGCAAUGCGCGAAAGCGUGACGGGGCAAUGCCGCGUGUGGGAUGAAGCCCUUCGGGGUGUAAACCACUGUCAGGGUCUAGGAACACAAUGACCAUACCCAAAGGAAGCACCGGCUAACUCUGUGCCAGCAGCCGCGGUAAUACAGAGGGUGCGAGCGUUAAUCGGAAUCACUGGGCUUAAAGGGUCCGUAGGCGGGACUGCAGGCGUCGAGUGAAAUACCACGGCUCAACCGUGGAACUGCUCGGCGAACCGCAGUUCUUGAGGCGAGUAGAGGCGAUCAGAACGAUAGGUGGAGCGGUGAAAUGCGUAGAUAUCUAUCGGAAUGCCAAAGGUGAAGACAGGUCGCUGGGCUCGUCCUGACGCUGAGGGACGAAAGCGUGGGGAGCAAACGGGAUUAGAUACCCCGGUAGUCCACGCCGUAAACAAUGCGCACUGGGUCGGGGGGGUUUGACGCCCUCCUGGCCGAAGCAAAAGUGUUAAGUGCGCCGCCUGGGGAGUACGGUCGCAAGGCUAAAACUCAAAGGAAUUGACGGGGGCUCACACAAGCGGUGGAGCAUGUGGCUUAAUUCGAAGCAACGCGAAGAACCUUAUCCCAGGCUUGACAUCUUAGGAUUAGUCCUAUGAAAGUAGGAUGACAGCCGCAAGGCCGGAACUAGGACAGGUGCUGCAUGGCUGUCGUCAGCUCGUGCUGUGAAGUGUCGGGUUAAGUCCCUCAACGAGCGAAACCCCUAUCGUUAGUUGCUAACAGGUAAUGCUGAGGACUCUAGCGAGACUGCCGGUGUCAAACCGGAGGAAGGUGGGGAUGACGUCAAGUCCUCAUGGCCCUUAUGCCUGGGGCUGCACACGUGCUACAAUGG